rnacentral:tRNA from 1 species
GCCUGGGUAGCUCAGUUGGUUAAGCGUCUGACUUUGGCUCAGGUCAUGAUCUCAUGGUUUGUGGGUUCGAGCCCCACACCAAGCU